rnacentral:rRNA from 1 species
UACGUAGGGGCAAGCGUUGUCCGGAAUCAUUGGGCGUAAAGCGCGUGUAGGCGGCUCGGUAAGUCCGCUCUGAAAGUCCGGGGCUCAACCCUGGGAUGCGGGUGGAUACUGCCGGCUCGAGUCCGGAAGAGGCGAGUGGAAUUCCCGGUGUAGCGGUGAAAUGCGCAGAUAUCGGGAGGAACACCAAUGGCGAAGGCAGC